GAAGUGAAAUGGGUGCUGCCUCUGGACACACUUAACUCAUUCGAGCCAUCAAUCAAGAAAAUUAAUUACACAGGAUGCUACAAAUCAAACCUGCUCUACUUACAUCCAAUACAUCCGAAUCAGAUCAAUAUACAUGUUUUGGAGUUGUUUUGGCAGCUUUGAUCCCCAAAACAAGAGACGGAAAGUCAAAUAGACAACAUAUAUAAGAUGGUCUUGUACCAAAUUUACUAUGGAAGCAAAAUUGACAUUUGAAUGUUUAUAAAAAAAAAAAAAACAAGCAAGCUAAGAUUCGUCCUCUAAUCAUCUUAGUUGAAAUGGAAUCAUGACGAUGGCACGCUGGACUUGUUGGCAGUGGAGACGGCGGAAGAUGGUCGGAUCUUUUUGCUCCGGCCAUUGACGGGGAUGAGAGCUGAGGAGAAGACGGCGCGGAGGACUCGCCUCAGGACCAGGCCUCGCUUCGGGAUAGUAACNNNNNNNNNNCCUAUCCCCUGUGUGCCUUGGGUUUUGGCUUGAGAUGAGACUUGUCGGCUACCGUGGCCAUCGGGAUCGGGAAACCGUACCACGGCGCCGUUGAGGAAGAUACAGGCGUGAGAUUGGGACUCUCUUUUUU
rnacentral:lncRNA from 1 species